UCCACGUUCUCCACAAAGUAUCAUUAAAAGCUGUCAAUUUCGAACCUCCCACAUUAAUCCUGUGAAUUGUCUCUAAAACAUGCAACGAAAGAUUCUGGUACUCUUCAAUUCCAUCAGCACUAACCAGCUUGGCUCCAUAAUCAACGAUAAAGUCUUUGGGAGCCGAAAACACUUCGAUAGCACUAAUAAAUCCAAAACCUGACUCACCCACAGGUCUCAACAAAAUUUCCAGCAUUUUAUCAUUUGCUUUUAUUAUAUACUCCUUAAGC
rnacentral:misc_RNA from 1 species